UAACACGUGAGCAACCUGCCUUCGAGAGGGGAAUAACGGCUGGAAACGGUCGCUAAUACCGCAUAAUAUACAGGAGGGACAUCCCUUUUGUAUCAAAGAUUUAUCGCUCGAAGAUGGGCUCGCGUCCGAUUAGGUAGUUGGUGAGGUAACGGCCCACCAAGCCGACGAUCGGUAGCCGGACUGAGAGGUUGAACGGCCACAUUGGGACUGAGACACGGCCCAGACUCCUACGGGAGGCAGCAGUGGGGGAUAUUGCACAAUGGGGGAAACCCUGAUGCAGCGACGCCGCGUGUGGGAAGACGGUCCUCUGGAUUGUAAACCACUGUCCCCAGGGACGAAGAUNACGGUACCUGGGGAGGAAGCUCCGGCUAACUACGUGCCAGCAGCCGCGGUAAUACGUAGGGAGCAAGCGUUGUCCGGAAUUACUGGGUGUAAAGGGAGCGUAGGCGGGAUGGCAAGUUGGGUGUUAAAUCUACCGGCUCAACUGGUAGUCGCACUCAAAACUGCUAUUCUUGAGUGAAGUAGAGGCAGGCGGAAUUCCUAGUGUAGCGGUGAAAUGCGUAGAUAUUAGGAGGAACACCAGUGGCGAAGGCGGCCUGCUGGGCUUUUACUGACGCUGAGGCUCGAAAGUGUGGGGAGCAAACAGGAUUAGAUACCCUGGUAGU
rnacentral:rRNA from 1 species